UUUCUCAUAAUAUAUAUUUUCCAUGAACUUUUGAAAACUUCUUGAGAUAUACACACAAGCCCAACAUAGAUUCUUCCACAUUACUCUUUUCUAAAGCCUCUUUAUCCCCAUAAUUCCAUAAAAUAAUAUAUAACAGACUUGGCUUUGGCUUAUUGGACUCUUAGUCCAACUUAGUUGUUUUUCAGCUUUAACUUUGGUGACUCAUUUGUGCUCAGUUCUGAUUCAGACAAUGGAAAACUAUUUUAGCAAGAGCUGAACUGAUUUUUAUUCCCCUGUUGAUGUCCAAAGCUCAGCCCACCGUCAUGCACUGUGCAUUCACAUUCUCUGUUUCUGCAAGCUUUGCUGGCCAAUUUCACCAACGAACGUUGAAUUGACCAAACAUGUACUAAGUGCAUUCUGCAGACAUAACGGAGACUGAAUUUUGGAGAUCUUUGCUUCCCAAAGAAUCCCCUGAAAAAAAAAAUUUUUUUUUUACUUCUACUAAGUAGCCCAGUUUUCCAAUCACAUGAAUUUUCUGGAAUAUUUUUGGAGAGAAGCAGAUUUAUUGAAGAGCUGUUCUUUUUUACCCCAGAUAUAGACAAAGUUAAAUUUAUUCUCUGAAUAUAAAUCAUCAGAGUAAGAAGGUAAGAUUUAGUCAAGAAGAUACAUUUGUUGGACUAUGGGUUCAUCUGUGUGCAACAGAGACCUAAAGUUUCAAUGGCUUAAGCAGUAUUGAGGUUUAUUUAUCUUCCAUGACAGCGUGAGAGUUUGCAGCCAAAGACUAGUAUGGCGGGUCCAUGGUGUCAAGGACUGCCAGGUAUCUCCCAUCUUAUUGCUUCAUUAUCUCUAGG
rnacentral:lncRNA from 10 species